rnacentral:rRNA from 1 species
AUACGAACCGUACGAACGUUAUUCGGAAUCACUGGGCUUAAAGAGUGCGUAGGCGGCUUGGCAAGUUGGGUGUGAAAUCCCUCGGCUCAACCGAGGAAUGGCGCCCAAAACUGCUAGGCUUGAGGGAGGUAGAGGUAAGCGGAACUAAUGGUGGAGCGGUGAAAUGCGUUGAUAUCAUUAGGAACACCUGAGGCGAAAGCAGCUUACUGGGCCUUUUCUGACGCUGAGGCACGAAAGCUAGGGGAGCGAACGGGAUUAGAUACCCCGGUAGUCCUAGCCGUAAACGAUGAGCACUGGAUUGAGGAGACUUUCACAUCUUCUCGGUCGUAGCGAAAGUGUUAAGUGCUCCGCCUGGGGUGUAUGGUCGCAAGGCUGAA